AUGACUACUUCAUGUCUUCUAGGUCGAGUUGGAGAUCCCGGGUCACCCGGCCCGCACGGCCUUAAUGGAGACAGAGGACGGAUGGGAAUACCUGGCGCCCCAGGACUGCCUGGCAGAUCAAUACUCGGACUGCGGGGAGUUGUAGGUCAGAAGGGAGUUCCAGGAUGCAAGGGGGUCAGAGGAGAUCCAGGUCAGAUCUCUACAGAGAAACCCACACCUGGAGAACCUGGAAAACCAGGGCGCCCUGGAUUCAGGGGACCUAAAGGACAGCAAGGUGUUCCAGGUACCAGACAACAGUGUUUCUGUCUCUUAGUGUUGUACACUUGUAGGUACCUGCAGGGCCAGACUGCAGAUAUUAACAGCAGGUAUGGGAUGUGUCACUGUCCCAGUUGAUUUUUUUUCUUAAUAAUCACUCAAAAAAACACCCUUGUUUUUCUCCCACUGACUUCCUGUAUAUCUUUUAAGGUACCUACUGUCUCCCUGGAGCCUCAGGACCACCUGGGGACCCAGGUGUGUCAGGGCCCACAGGGUUUCAGGGCUCACUGGGAAUUAAAGGUCAGUUGUUGGAGAUAUUGACUGAAUUUGUGACUUUUAGAGGGUGGAAGACUGAUGAGCUGCUUUUAGCCUUGAUGUGAAAUAUGUGCACACUCAGGCCACGUCACAUUAGCACAGUUUGGGUUUGCUAAAUGAGGAAAGAAGAGAUUAAAAACUAACACCCCUGUCCACAUUGUGCUACGUGAAUCAUGCAGUGGUCAGUUUAUAAACAUCAACUGAUGAAGUAAUUUAAAAAAGGCAGUCUGACCUUUUUACUGCCAGAAACCAAAGAUAUCAUCACCAUGCUAAAGUCAUCGCUAGCUGUUUCCUUUAGGUUCUCAUUGUAAUUUAUCCAGAUGAGUUUUAUUGGAUGCAACUGGGUUACUUCUGGCUAAUGCUAACUUACCAGCUAACCACUUCCAGCUACCCAAUGAAGAGUAUAACCUUAACUUGCUUCCUCACUCAUGUUGUUGCUGUGAAGCCUUAGACGGUACAUGGAUUUAGCUUUGAGAUGUCGCUCACGGAUGUGUGAAGACUUCAGCUGAGGACGUCACGGUCGCCAGCACUCGUCAUAUUCUGUUUGAUCUUUCGAUAUGUGUCUGAGUGACUCUGAUUGUGAAACCGCACACUGUGGCUCACAAAUUGUGACUGAGGUAUUAACCAAUGAGCAUGCUCCUAAAUAACCCUCCUCUCUUAUUCUAAGAAUGAGCAUAAUUUAUAAAAACAGACUUAAUGUUUUAUUCAAAAUGGCCUCAAACUAGAGAAUGAGUUUGUAAAUGCAUUAAGGAAAUGUGUACUAACGUCUUCAAAGCGAGGGAGCAGAGGGCACUUUUCCCAUACACUUUGAUACAACUGGAAGUCUUUUGCAGUAACAGGUGUCGCCACCUUCAGCUGUGUCCUUCUGUUAUACUGUCUAUAGCAAAGACAUCCUAUUUUGGCCUUGAGUCCUUGUUGCGCCGACAGCCAGUCGUAGUGACGUUAUUAAUCACUCAGAUCAUUUUGCUAAUGUUUGCUGGAAGUGCUCAAUAAGGGUUAGAGAUCGAUCUAACCCUAAUUUCUGUGUUUUAGGUAGUUGUGGUGGCUGUUCUUGUGGCGUUCCUCUUGUACUAAGAGGUGCACCUGGCCCUAUGGGUGACUUGGGAUUUCCAGGGUUCCAAGGAUCCCCCGGACCCACAGGUCCUCGGGAGAGUACGGUGUUCCCGGAGACACAGGAGAGACUGGUGAGCAGGUAAAGCAACUGAGCAACAAGGUCAGAGGUCAUCUGAGCAGCCACCACUGCUCUGUUUGUUUGACUGACUGCUUUGUUUACAGGGUCGGGCCGGAUUCCCGGGUUCAAAGGCUUUAAAGGACAGAAAGGAGAUUUAACGGUGGAGGAUAUUGAAGGUGAGUCACAGUCUGUGCAGCUGUCUCCCAGGCACACUUGAACAUUAUUGACAGUAACUUCAACAUAACCUCCUGUGAAUACUGCUCCUUUGUCUCCAGGUGAGAAGGGAAACAAGGGACAGCAGGGCCCUGCAGGCAGACAAGGUUCCCAGGAAGAAGAGGACAGACUGGGCCCCCAGGGGUCCCUGGAAAUCCCGGUUUCCAGGUCAGUCGGGUUAGAAGAUAGGAGGAAUGAGGAUUGGAGGGUGUUGUUCAAGACUGGAAAGAGCGAAAUAUGAGAAGCAAUAAUGUGAAAGAGUUUCUCAGCAAGUAAUUCGUCACUGUGGGGCUGAUAGUCCGUCCAUGAAAUGAUUUCUGUUUCAGAUGUAAUGAGAUGAUGUUCACAUUACAGCUC
rnacentral:lncRNA from 1 species